CUUUGAAUCAUAGUUAAUCUAUGUCGUUUUGUUAAGGAAGUCUGAGGGGUCCAUUUCUAAGAUUUUUCUUAUCCAAUAACAAUCUCCGAUUUAUGUUCUUCCUAAUUAGACCAUGGUUCUGUGGAUUACGUCGAGUAGUAUCGGUUGUGGGUGGAGGCGAUAUUUUUUUGCAAAUGUCAGACCACCAUGCUUCUCUUAGCCAACUAUGCCGGACGCUUAUUUUUCAGAGUU